GACAGAGGGUGCAAACGUUGUUCGGAAUUACUGGGCGUAAAGCGUGUGUAGGCGGCUUUGCAAGUCGGGCGUGAAAUCCCAUGGCUCAACCAUGGAAGUGCACUCGAAACUGCAGAGCUAGAGUCCUGGAGAGGAAGGUGGAAUGCUUGGUGUAGAGGUGAAAUUCGUAGAUAUCAAGCGGAACACCGGUGGCGAAGGCGGCCUUCUGGACCGGUUCUGACGCUGAGGCGCGAAAGCGUGGGGAGCAAACAGG
rnacentral:rRNA from 1 species